UGGGGAAUAUUGGACAAUGGGCGAAAGCCUGAUCCAGCCAUGCCGCGUGUGUGAAGAAGGUCUUCGGAUUGUAAAGCACUUUAAGUUGGGAGGAAGGGCAGUAAGCGAAUACCUUGCUGUUUUGACGUUACCGACAGAAUAAGCACCGGCUAACUCUGUGCCAGCAGCCGCGGUAAUACAGAGGGUGCAAGCGUUAAUCGGAAUUACUGGGCGUAAAGCGCGCGUAGGUGGUUCGUUAAGUUGAAUGUGAAAGCCCCGGGCUCAACCUGGGAACUGCAUCCGAAACUGGCGAACUGGAGUAGGGCAGAGGGUGGUGGAAUUUCCUGUGUAGCGGUGAAAUGCGUAGAUAUAGGAAGGAACACCAGUGGCGAAGGCGACCACCUGGGCUCAUACUGACACUGAGGUGCGAAAGCGUGGGGAGCAAACAGG
rnacentral:rRNA from 1 species